rnacentral:rRNA from 1 species
AGAGUUUGAUCCUGGCUCAGGAUGAACGCUAGCUACAGGCUUAACACAUGCAAGUCGAGGGGAAACGACAUCGAAAGCUUGCUUUUGAUGGGCGUCGACCGGCGCACGGGUGAGUAACGCGUAUCCAACCUGCCCACCACUUGGGGAUAACCUUGCGAAAGUAAGACUAAUACCCAAUGACGUCUCUAGAAGACAUCUGAAAGAGAUUAAAGAUUUAUCGGUGAUGGAUGGGGAUGCGUCUGAUUAGCUUGUUGGCGGGGUAACGGCCACCAAGGCUACGAUCAGUAGGGGUUCUGAGAGGAAGGUCCCCCACAUUGGAACUGAAGACACGGUCCAAAACGUCCUACGGGAGGCCA